rnacentral:rRNA from 1 species
AACGAACGCUGGCGGCAUGCCUAACACAUGCCAGUCGAACGAGACCUUCGGGUCUAGUGGCGCACGGGUGCGUAACGCGUGGGAACCUGCCCUUAGGUUCGGAAUAACUCCCCGAAAGGGGUGCUAAUACCGGAUAAUGUCUUCGGACCAAAGAUUUAUCGCCUUUGGAUGGGCCCGCGUUGGAUUAGCUAGUUGGUAGGGUAAAAGCCUACCAAGGCGACGAUCCAUAGCUGGUCUGAGAGGAUGAUCAGCCACACUGGGACUGAGACACGGCCCAGACUCCUAGGGGAGGGAGCAGGGGGGAAUAUUGGACAAUGGGCGAAAGCCUGAUCCAGCAAUGCCGGGUGGGUGAUGAAGGCCUUAGGGUUGUAAAGCUCUUUUACCCGGGAUGAAAAUGACAGAACCGGGGAAAAAAGCCCCGGCUAACCCCGG